rnacentral:snoRNA from 1 species
GUCGACGUACUUCAUAGGAUCAUUUCUAUAGGUCACGUCCCACAAUGACUCUUCUAAAGAGCCACUGAAUCCAACUUGGUUGAUGAGAUAGAUACCCUCGUGCCCUCAAAGUGAGAACACAUUUAGCUUGUCCACGAUCCUUUGCGGUCUGGUCAUCUACAAUUUGUUUGCCUUUCAUUUGCCACUUGCGACUUUGUCUUGAGUGCUGAAAGGAGCGAUGAUCUUGACCCUUUGCCACAUGCUUCUUCGGAGGACGUGACAUUGGGUGGGUGCGAGUGGCUGUCUGACAAGU